AGAGUUUGAUCCUGGCUCAGGAUGAACGCUGGCGGCGUGCCUAAUACAUGCAAGUCGAGCGAACAGACGAGGAGCUUGCUCCUUUGACGUUAGCGGCGGACGGGUGAGUAACACGUAGGUAACCUACCUAUAAGACUGGGAUAACUUCGGGAAACCGGAGCUAAUACCGGAUAAUAUUUCGAACCGCAUGGUUCGAUAGUGAAAGAUGGCUUUGCUAUCACUUAUAGAUGGACCUGCGCCGUAUUAGCUAGUUGGUAAGGUAACGGCUUACCAAGGCAACGAUACGUAGCCGACCUGAGAGGGUGAUCGGCCACACUGGAACUGAGACACGGUCCAGACUCCUACGGGAGGCAGCAGUAGGGAAUCUUCCGCAAUGGGCGAAAGCCUGACGGAGCAACGCCGCGUGAGUGAUGAAGGUCUUCGGAUCGUAAAACUCUGUUAUUAGGGAAGAACAAACGUGUAAGUAACUGUGCACGUCUUGACGGUACCUAAUCAGAAAGCCACGGCUAACUACGUGCCAGCAGCCGCGGUAAUACGUAGGUCCCGAGCGUUGUCCGGAUUUAUUGGGCGUAAAGCGCGCGUAGGCGGUUUUUUAAGUCUGAUGUGAAAGCCCACGGCUCAACCGUGGAGGGUCAUUGGAAACUGUUUAACUUGAGUGCAAGAGGGGAGAGUGGAAUUCCAUGUGUAGCGGUGAAAUGCGUAGAUAUAUGGAGGAACACCGGUGGCGAAAGCGGCUCUCUGGCUUGUAACUGACGCUGAGGCUCGAAAGCGUGGGGAGCAAACAGGAUUAGAUACCCUGGUAGUCCACGCUGUAAACGAUGAGUGCUAGGUGNCACUUGAUGAAAAAAAGUUUAAAAAAACUUAAAAAUCUUCAAAAAAGUGUUGACAAGCGAAAGCAGUUGUGAUAUACUAAUAUAGUUGUCGCUUGAGAGAAGCAAGUGACAAAGACCUUUGAAAACUGAACAAGACGAACCAAUGUGCAGGGCGCUACAACAUAAGUUGUAGUACUGAACAAUGAAAAAAACAAUAAAUCUGUCAGUGACAGAAAUGAGUGAGAACUCAAAC
rnacentral:rRNA from 1 species